rnacentral:rRNA from 1 species
UACGUAGGUGGCAAGCGUUGUCCGGAAUUAUUGGGCGUAAAGCGCGCGCAGGCGGUUCUUUUAAGUCUGAUGUGAAAGCCCACGGCUCAACCGUGGAGGGUCAUUGGAAACUGGAGACUUGAGUACAGAAGAGGAAAGCGGAAUUCCACGUGUAGCGGUGAAAUGCGUAGAGAUGUGGAGGAACACCAGUGGCGAAGGCGGCUUUCUGGUCUGAUAACUGACGCUGAGGCGCGAAAGCGUGGGGAGCAAACAGG